CCUAGCCUACGGGGCGCAGCAGUGAGGAAUAUUGGUCAAUGGGCGCGAGCCUGAACCAGCCAAGUCGCGUGAGGGAAGACGGUCCUAUGGAUUGUAAACCUCUUUUGUCGGGGAGCAAAAGACGCCACGCGUGGCGUUCCGAGAGUAACCGAAGAAAAAGCAUCGGCUAACUCCGUGCCAGCAGCCGCGGUAAUACGGAGGAUGCGAGCGUUAUCCGGAUUUAUUGGGUUUAAAGGGUGCGCAGGCGGAAGAUCAAGUCAGCGGUAAAAUUGAAAGGC
rnacentral:rRNA from 1 species